CCCUUAGAGUUUGAUCCUGGCUCAGAUUGAACGCUGGCGGCAGGCCUAACACAUGCAAGUCGAACGGUAACAGGAAGCAGCUUGCUGCUUCGCUGACGAGUGGCGGACGGGUGAGUAAUGUCUGGGAAACUGCCUGAUGGAGGGGGAUAACUACUGGAAACGGUAGCUAAUACCGCAUAACGUCGCAAGACCAAAGAGGGGGACCUUCGGGCCUCUUGCCAUCGGAUGUGCCCAGAUGGGAUUAGCUAGUAGGUGGGGUAACGGCUCACCUAGGCGACGAUCCCUAGCUGGUCUGAGAGGAUGACCAGCCACACUGGAACUGAGACACGGUCCAGACUCCUACGGGAGGCAGCAGUGGGGAAUAUUGCACAAUGGGCGCAAGCCUGAUGCAGCCAUGCCGCGUGUAUGAAGAAGGCCUUCGGGUUGUAAAGUACUUUCAGCGGGGAGGAAGGCGGUGAGGUUAAUAACCUCAUCGAUUGACGUACCCGCAGAAGAGCACCGGCAACUCCG
rnacentral:rRNA from 1 species